AGAGUUCUUCCCUGUGGUGCCUUCUCACUGAAGAUGGCCUGGGAGCAUGGAGAAAAGUAAGACUCCAGUAACUCCAAGCUGGGGCUUCUGCUUGUUCAGCCACAAGGUGGGAAUGCUCUGCGCUUUGCUGGGGAAGUUUCACAGGACAGGAGCAAACUGAGGCAUGAGAUGCCUGGGAGAUUUUGUUGAGCUUUGGAUGAGCUACGUCACUCUUUGAACAUGGGAAUUGAAGUGCAUCUAGCUGCUUUUUUUUUUUUUUUCAUCUGGGAUCAAGGGAACCAUCAGAAAACAGGUUUGCUGCCUAGAUUGAUAGCUAGGCAAUGGAGGCUCAAUAGUACACAGCUGAAAUGCCAGGAGUUGAACAGGAGACAAAGUAGAGCUGCUGGUCAGUGUCACUGGGCUGCACAUCCCUGGGAGAUGGAGAGACAAUGAGUUUCCAGGCCAUCCUUCAUCCUCAUUCCAAACACAAGCUUUGCGCACUCCCGGAAGUACUGUCCGAUGAAAU
rnacentral:lncRNA from 1 species